rnacentral:snRNA from 1 species
GGAUUGAGAGCAAUCUGGCUGCAACAUUUGUUUUCACAUUGAUCCCAGAGUUGAUUCAGUUGAUCAAGUUGGCUAGGCAAGUGUCCCUUUCCUCUCUGUGUACACCCCUCCAGAAGCUGUUUGAUCAGUGGAAGAGGAUGAUCUUUCUUCUCUGAUAGGAGGCCUGGUCUUUAGUCAAGCGGAUAUAGAGAUGAUCACCCCUGCUAGAACCUCCACACAGGCCUCAAAUUUGUUCAAUUAACAUCUCUCAUUGUGGGUCAUCAUUCACCAAACAUGAUUCUGAUUAUAACUGAGCAUUUCAUA